rnacentral:rRNA from 1 species
GAUGAACGCUGGCGGCGUGCCUAAUACAUGCAAGUCGAGCGAACAGACGAGGAGCUUGCUCCUCUGACGUUAGCGGCGGACGGGUGAGUAACACGUGGAUAACCUACCUAUAAGACUGGGAUAACUUCGGGAAACCGGAGCUAAUACCGGAUAAUAUAUUGAACCGCAUGGUUCAAUAGUGAAAGACGGGUUUGCUGUCACUUAUAGAUGGAUCCGCGCCGCAUUAGCUAGUUGGUAAGGUAACGGCUUACCAAGGCAACGAUGCGUAGCCGACCUGAGAGGGUGAUCGGCCACACUGGAACUGAGACACGGUCCAGACUCCUACGGGAGGCAGCAGUAGGGAAUCUUCCGCAAUGGGCGAAAGCUUGACGGAGCAACGCCGCGUGAGUGAUGAAGGUCUUCGGAUCGUAAAACUCUGUUAUUAGGGAAGAACAAAUGUGUAAGUAACUAUGCACGUCUUGACGGUACCUAAUCAGAAAGCCACGGCUAACUACGUA